UUAGACCUCAAAUCAG
rnacentral:rRNA from 2 species